CAAGGCCUGCCGCAAGAAAUGAAGGGGGAGACCGACGCGAAGAGGAAAAGAGAAAAAAAUCUCAAUUGAUCGCCUCCGCCGCUACACAUCCACGCCGUCGAGAAGCACUUCGGCACCGCCGCGGCCGGUAGCGAAGACUUCGGCGGCCUCUUCUCCGCCGACACCGACGACCAGAUCGCCCUCGAAUUCCCAACCUGUCCGCCCUAGAACCGGCGCCGCCGCGGCCGGCAGCGACGACUUCGGCGGCCUCUUCUCCGCCGACACCGCCGACCAGCUCGCCCUCGAGUUCCCCACCUGCAACCACUUCGAUGGGUUCCAGAAGGCGACCAUGGAGAUGGUGAGCAACAAGAAGGGGACGAACACGCUCUCCUUCAUCUUCGACAAGGCGUCAUCGUCGCCGCCGAGUCCCGGGCCAGCAUGGGCGGGUACACAUGGUUCGGUCUUGGUACUAUGUUGAUAAGCGAGGGUGCAAGGCUCAAGGGAAGCCGGUUCUCUUACUCUCUGUAUGCUUAUUAUAUGCUCAUGGUAUCUUGGAUGAGGGUUACAAAUUCAACGUGUCAGUUG